GAUGAACGCUGGCGGCGUGCCUAACACAUGCAAGUCGAGCGAACAGACCAGGAGCUUGCUCCUCUGACGUUGGAGGCGGUCGGGUGCGUACCUUGUGGAUAACCUACCUCUAAGAAUGGGGUAACUUCGGGAAAUCGGUGCUAAUACCGGAUGAUAUAUUGAAGCAGAUGGUUCAAUCGUGAGAGUAGGUAUUUCUGUGGCUAAUAGAUGGAUAAGCGCCGCAUUCGCAAGUUGGUUAGGUAAAGGCUUAGCAAGACUAGGAUGGUAAGCCGACCCGAACGGGUCGUCGCCCACCCUGUAACUGAGACUCGGCCCAGACUCCGACGGGGGGAAGCAGUAGGGAAUCUUCCGCAAUGGGCGAGAGCCUGACGUAGCAACGCCGCGUGAAGGAUGAAGGUCUUCUGAUCGGAAAACUCUGUUAUUAGGGGGGAACAAAUGCGUAAUUAACUAGGCACGUCUUGACGGUACCUAAACAGAAAGCCACGGCUAACUACGUG
rnacentral:rRNA from 1 species